GAUGAACGCUGGCGGCGUGCCUAAUACAUGCAAGUCGAGCGAACGGACGAGAAGCUUGCUUCUCUGAUGUUAGCGGCGGACGGGUGAGUAACACGUGGAUAACCUACCUAUAAGACUGGGAUAACUUCGGGAAACCGGAGCUAAUACCGGAUAAUAUUUUGAACCGCAUGGUUCAAAAGUGAAAGACGGUCUUGCUGUCACUUAUAGAUGGAUCCGCGCUGCAUUAGCUAGUUGGUAAGGUAACGGCUUACCAAGGCAACGAUGCAUAGCCGACCUGAGAGGGUGAUCGGCCACACUGGAACUGAGACACGGUCCAGAAUCCUACGGGAGGCAGCAGUAGGGAAUCUUCCGCAAUGGGCGAAAGCCUGACGGAGCAACGCCGCGUGAGUGAUGAAGGUCUUCGGAUCGUAAAACUCUGUUAUUAGGGAAGAACAUAUGUGUAAGUAACUGUGCACAUCUUGACGGUACCGAAUCAGAAAGCCACGGCUAACUACGU
rnacentral:rRNA from 1 species